rnacentral:rRNA from 1 species
UACGAAGGGGGCGAGCGUUGUUCGGAAUUACUGGGCGUAAAGGGCGCGCAGGCGGCUCUGAAAGUCAGAUGUGAAAGCCCCGGGCUUAACCUGGGAAUUGCAUUUGAUACUCUGGAGCUUGAGUGUGGGAGAGGAGAGUGGAAUUCCCAGUGUAGAGGUGAAAUUCUUAGAUAUUAGGAGGAACACCAGUGGCGAAGGCGGUCAUCUGGGCUAUAACUGACGCUGUGGCGCGAAAGCGUGGGGAGCAAACAGG